rnacentral:lncRNA from 12 species
UAAGUUAAAUAAUAUUACUAAUAAGAUCUAAUGUGAAUUGUUUUCUAUCAUUCAGGCAUGGUUAAACCCUAGUUCUCUCAGGUAUUGCCUUCUCUGUGGGGAGAUUCAAUGAUGUGGUUACUGUAGACACAAGAAAGAAUGUUCUUUAGUUAAUCCAAGUCCUCUUUUCUCUUGUUUUGAUGUCAAGUGCAAGAUACACAAAUUCAAGUUGAUGAUAGUUCCCAGUGGAUGAAAGCAAUGGCUCUAGUCUGAGUUGUGGCAGUCCUUGAAUCCUGUGAGUAUCAGCAGGGUUCCUGGUGUGUGCUGAUGUAAUCCCUAGGUCACAGAACACUGAUGCUGGCUUGCAUCAUAAUAGCCCUGUUGGUAUGUUGAGCACUGGUCAGGACAGUGAUUUAGUGAGGAAGUAGUUUCUCUACUGAUUUGUUGUUCGUGAGUGUACAAGUGAACUAGUUUGAUUCUUCGUUAUACUGAUUGGAGUGACUCUCUGAAGAGGAGGUGAAUUUGAAGAGGUGAUUUGUUGUUCGUGAGUGUACAAGUGAACUAGUUUGAUUCUUCGUUAUACUGAUUGGAGUCACUCUCUGAAGAGGAGGUGAAUUUGAAGAGGUGAUUUGUUGUUCGUGAGUGUACAAGUGAACUAGUUUGAUUCUUCGUUAUACUGAUUGGAGUCACUCUCUGAAGAGGUGAACCAUGAAGCAGAAACGAAAAAGGAAGCAUCUAGAAAGGACAAGUUCCCCCCAAACUGUCAAGAGGUCAAAAGGAAUCUCAAAAUCAAGCAAAUUUGAUCCACCACCUGGCCACUGUUUGGAAGACAAUACUCUGGUUCCUGAGGCAAAAGGUGAAUCCUCUGAAUCAGAAUACUUCUCCUGCUAUUCCUCCUUCAGUCUUCUGUCUUCUGCAGGAAUCUCAAAAUCAAGCAAAUUUGAUCCACCAACUGGACCCUCUUUGGAAGACAAUACUCUGAUAUGUGAGGCUAAAGGUGAAUCCUUUGAAUCAAAAUACUUCGGCUAUUCCUUCUUGAGUCGUCUGUUUUCUGCAGGAAUCUCAAAAUCAAGCAAAUUUGAUCCACCAACUGGACCCUCUUUGGAAGACAAUACUCUGGUCCAUGAGGCUAAAGGUGAAUCAUCUGAAUCAAAAUACUUCUGCUAUUCCUCCUUGAGUCAUCUAUUUUCUGCAGGAAUCUCAAAAUCAAGCAAAUUUGAUCCACCACCUGGCCACUCUUUGGAAGACAAUACUCUGGUCCCUGUGGCAAAAGGUGAAUCCUCUGAAUCAGAAUACUUCUCCUGCUAUUCCUCCUUGAGUCAUCUGUCUUCUGCAGGUAAGGGGCAAGGAAAGGCAUGCAAAGUCAAGAAGAUUAGGGCAGUGGGAGCCUGAACAGACUGGUAGACACCCAGCUAAGCAUCUCUCAGCUAGUGGGAGAAAGGUACACAUCAGACCCAGUUAUAAUCUUAUCCUCA